UUCUUUUCCUUUCAAUUUGAACAUUCUGCAGCAUAUUACAGCAAGAACACCUGAGAAGCAUGGACACAGAGAGAAAACUGAUGAUUUUCUCUCUGCUCUUGGCAGGUGUUUGCAGCCCUGUGUUCUGUGGAGAAUGGAAGGCCAGUGUGGUAAAAGACCUUGAUGCCCUGAUUUCAACCUGUGUUGUGGUUCCCUGUUCGUUCACUCAUCCUGGAGGAAACCUGCCCACGUCCAGACUCAGGGGCAUCUGGCACCUUAAAGAUAAGCAAGAUGAAAACAUCUAUCACGAGGAUCAAUCAAAGAUCUUGGACAACUACAAGGGCCGGACGCGGCUGUUGGGAGAGCUGGGUCAGAGUAACUGCACCUUAGAAAUAACUGACCUCGCAUACGAUGACGACGGGCCUUUCUGUUUCCGGAUCGAACCCGUGGAAACGGAGGAUAACAACCCCACCACAGAAAAGUUCUCCUUCGUUGAGGACUGUGUCGCGUUGAACAUGGAACUUAUACCUCCAACUCUUACACUGCCUGAUCCAGACACAGCCAUUGAGGGGCAGCCCUUCACUGUCACCUGCUCAGUCGCCCAUACGUGCCCCUCACGUGCCCCUAAACUCUCAUGGACUGGGAAACAUGGACAAGUCAGAGAGGAACAUAAGGACAUUCGAUCUGGCAACUGGGAAAUCAAGUCUAUCUUAGCAUUUGUUCCUAAGUUGAAGGAUAACAACACUGAGAUCACCUGCAAGGCUGAGUUUUUUGGACAGAUAACGUCCUCCAGAAGUGUUUCUCUCUAUGUAAAACAUGAGAACGUUGCACUAAGUUCAGAAAACUACAAUCACAUCAUCGUUCCAGUGGCCGCUGCUGCUGCUCUGAUCUUUGGACUCCUCUGCGUUUUAGUGGCAAAAAAAUACAAGAGUCAGAUUAGAGAGCUGCAAUAUCGAGAAGGCAGCGGGUGGAGCCGGCUCUUCUAAGUGUCUCGCAGGGGCAGAAGCUGAAGACAAUCAAAGGAAGUCGAGGAGAAGAACGCCAAAGGCAGACAUGUUCAAUAAGAAUUCAGUAGAAACAGGCAAAUCACAGAGGUUACGUUCUGUUUGUCUGACUGGCUUUAUUCUAUUUUUCUGCUUUUAUUCACUUCCUCAUAAAAGAAGUUUCAGAGAAAAGACGCAACAUAUACAGCAGCUGAUGAAAUGUUGUUUUUUUCUAAUUAUUGUCAGUAAUAACAGGAUGUGCCGUCUUAUGUGGAUGUGAGACUUUCCUGCAAAUAACCUUAACAUAAGUUUCUAUCGCAAUACAAAGAAUAAAAACUUACUGACACCCACCA